GACACUGAGACACUAAGGGACAUUGGGAGACAUUAUGGCAGACACUGAGACACUAAGGGACACUGGGAGACAUUAUGGCAGACACUGAGACACUAAGGGACACUGGGAGACAUUAUGGCAGACACUGGGAGACAUUAUGGCAGACACUGAGGCACUAAGGGGCACUGGGAGAAAUUAUGGCAGACACAGACACUAAGGGACACUGGGAGACGUUACGGCAGACACUGAGACACUAAGGGACACUGGGAGACAUUAUGGCAGACACUGAGACAGUAAGGGACAUUGGGAGACAUUAUGGCAGACACUGAGACACUAAGGGACAUUGGGAGACAUUAUGGCAGACACUGAG